ensembl:lncRNA
AUGUUAGCGACGCAGCGGUCUCUGUUGACCCCGCUAAUGUUAGCGACGCAGCGGUCUCUGUUGACCCCGCUAAUGUUAGCGACGCAGCGGUCUCUGUUGACCCCGCUAAUGUUAGCGACGCAGCGGUCUCUGUUGACCCCGCUAAUGUUAGCGACGCAGCGGUCUCUGUUGACCCCGCUAAUGUUAGCGACGCAGCGGUCUCUGUUGACCCCGCUAAUGUUAGCGACGCAGCGGUCUCUCCCCACGGGCGAAACCAAUGAGGAAACGGACAAAAGGGAAAAAGCGCCGUCGCUGGCUGUGGAAAACAAACAGGCGCAGCGUAAUUGCCGUUCACUCCCACGCGGCCGAAUGCAGAGAGAAACUAGACAUUAUCUCCUGUUGGAUGAAAGAGGCCCCAGCUGGCUAAUAAAUGAUGAUGAAACAAUGAAGGUAAGAAGGCGAACUGGCAUAAUUCCAGUAUGGAAACCUGUACGUAGACACGAGUCUGACGGAAGCGAACUGGAUCCGAUGAAGACUUUUACCAAAUAAGAUACAAACUGUAGUCUGACCGCCAAUCAGCUGUCUGGCUCGUAAAAUAGAGAAGUGCCUGAUAUUAUAUCAUCAUCACCAUGUUUUACACAGAGGGCACACCGCGUCAUGUGUUUGACGAUGGCACGAACUUCAGUGUGUUUUUAAGCAUCUUUUAUAUCAGAUUGUUAUUUUAUUUUUGGGGCGCUCCUUUAAGAACCCCUUUUGUAGUUUACGAGCGGCUAUCAAUGCUUUUGUACCCCGUGCCAUGAUGUGUUUUAAAGUAUAUAAAAAGAAACGGAAGCUGAUGUGCAAUUGUUUUUGUUUUUGUUUUCCAUUUCACGUGAUAUCUAAAGAAAUGUAUGCAGCCACUUUUCCUGUACAUAUCAUUUAGAAUAAAACGGAAGGCUGCUUCCUGUUUACAUCCUCUGCCUGCUUCUGCCUUUUCUUCCCGCGGAGCCGCGAUCAGACGAGUCCUUAAUGAAGCAGCGGGGGACUCGUCAAACGUCAAACCUGUCAGCUCCGCCUGCUGACGUCUUCUUCCGAGGCCGCCGGAGAGGUCUGUCGCGAUCAACGAGUCUCAGAGCGAAGCGUCGCCCGGGUUUCCCGCGCGGCGUGGACGGAACGUCGCCGAGGGCCGACGUUUGGCGCCCUGGGUCGCUGCGUGUGAACCCACGGACGUAAUCUCCCUCAUCGCCGGCGCGCUUCCUGUUAUUAAGUCACCAGCCGCAUUCCCAUUGUCCCGCACAAGGGGAUCGGCCCAGCGGGGGCUGGGCUUUUUUUUUUUUUUCUGAAGGUCAAAGGUGACGUCCUAACCAAACACCAUUAAUGCUACUUAAGCCGGGCCGGUUGUACGUGUUGGAAGAAGCCGAGGUGUGAGAACUGGGGGGGGAAGCAGAGAGCUCCCGUCCUGUGCUUUUAUCUAUCGCAGCAGGCUGUUCUCUCCAUCGACUGUGUGUGUGUGUGUGUGUGUGUGUGUGUGUGUGUGUGUGUCCUUUGCGGUGCACUGAGGACCGGGUUUAUCAGGAUCUACAAGAACAUGCGGACCAGUCUGUCGUCUUCACGUCCGCAUUCAAAUGUGGACGGAGCGCGGUGGGUUCCUGCAUCCUGAGGACGUCUCUUACGUCUCCUGGUGUCUCCGUCGGAGCGGCGUUUGCGACGCCGUUUCUCUCCUACGGCCAGUUGCGCGGUAGCUGGUCUCCAACGCACCAGCAAGAAGACGGCCGAUGGUCCCCAAAGCAUGCGUCAUAAUGUAUUAGGGCAGAAUUUGAAACUAGCCUUUCAUGGGCACUGACGUCUGAGGCCUCCCAGAGACCACAAGCAGAUCCAUCCGUCUUGU